UGCCGCGUGAGUGAAGAAGGCCUUCGGGUUGUAAAGCUCUUUCAGCCGGGAAGAAAAUGCAUGGAUUAAUACCCUGUGCAGAUGACGGUACCGGAAUAAGAAGCACCGGCUAACUACGUGCCAGCAGCCGCGGUAAUACGUAGGGUGCGAGCGUUAAUCGGAAUUACUGGGCGUAAAGCGUGCGCAGGCGGUUGGUUAAGAUAGGCGUGAAAUCCCCGGGCUCAACCUGGGAACUGCGCUUAUGACUGGUCAGCUAGAGUACGGCAGAGGGGGGUGGAAUUCCACGUGUAGCAGUGAAAUGCGUAGAGAUGUGGAGGAACACCAAUGGCGAAGGCAGCCCCCUGGGUCGAUACUGACGCUCAUGCACGAAAGCGUGGGUAGCAAACAGGAUUAGAUACCCUGGUAGUCCACGCCCUAAACGAUGUCAACUAGGUGUUGGGAGGGUAAAACCUUUUAGUACCGUAGCUAACGCGAGAAGUUGACCGCCUGGGGAGUACGGCCGCAAGGUUAAAACUCAAAGGAAUUGACGGGGACCCGCACAAGCGGUGGAUGAUGUGGAUUAAUUCGAUGCAACGCGAAAAACCUUACCUACCCUUGACAUGUCAG
rnacentral:rRNA from 1 species